GGUCGCUCGCUGGUUCAAAGCCAAAACAAAACAAAAAAAAAGUAAUUUAAAAAUUUUUUAGAAAAAAAAAAGAAAACAAAAAUAGUAAACAAAAAACAUAUGGUCUUAUUUACCUCUUGAACCCAAUGCAGCUAAUUAAAAAUAUCGAUAGGCUCAGCUGACCCCAAUUGACAUUCACCCCCCACCACAGCUGCUCCCCUUUUUGGGAAUUCACCCACCCACGUAAGCACCUGUCAAAAAGUGACAAUCCCAAAAGAUGCAUUUCCUGUCUGCCACCUGAUUUCACUUUUAUUCUGAAUCUCGCUGCGGGCAGACCUGUGCAUCUGUGGAUAAAAAUUAUUAAACCAGUGACUUAACCUCGUGGAGGAGAAAAUUAGUGUGUGAUUUUUUUUAUAAGAAUAGAGCGGAUUUUUGUUGCUGGAUGACCCUCGAUGCCCGUGGAUUUGGAGGCACCACCUGGCCCAACCUCGGCAUCCAUCAUAAGCACCAGCAUCACCACCAAGCUUCAGGGAUUAUUUUUACGACCCGUCGCCGAAAUUCCGCCGGCAACAUCAACCCCUCUGCCUGUGGAGUCUUGGGUCUUUUUUUAUGUAUUUUUUUUAUAUAAAAAAAAUUACAAAUAUCACGUAACUACAACUAUUAAAUAUCCCCGCGAGAGAG